AAUAAAGUUGUAUACUGAGAAUGUCAAAAGAUCAAGCCAACAAGGUACUGUAUAUCAAAUUUUACAAAUAUAUAGGUUGUAUGUCAAUUAGAAAAUUGCCAAUAAAAAUAGUUGUAUAUUACACUAAAAUGAUUAUUAAUAUUGUUAUUAUGGGAAUAUGAUACAUUGCAGUAAAGCCCUGCAUAAAAGAACCAGUGAAUUUUGACAUCAGGCUGAAGUGGUUCUUUAAUCUUUAUAUAUAAUCUUCAGUUCACACUAUACUUUUUUUAUAUUCUACACAUUAAAUAGGGACUGUUGUUGCAUAAAACUAUUGCUAUGAUACUAAAUAUAUGGUUCCUGUUGCAUAUAUCUAAACUGUAAAAAAAUUUUAAAACUUGUAUUUUGGGUGCUUAAUUGCCCAAACUUCAGGCUAGUGGUUCACUGGUUCUUAACCUACUGUUUCUUUUAUGCGAGGCAUAGACCUUAUGCAUAAUGACGUCUCAAGGCUUGGUGCCUGCGAGGAAUGCUGGUCUUAGUAGUCAUCACAGUCCAGGAAAAUUUCAAUAGUGGCCAUCCCGAAUUGUUUAAUUCUCCCGGGGGAUGACCAGCAUUCCUUGCGGGCAUCAAGCCUUGUGACAUCAUUAUGCAUAAGGUCAAGUGAGCAGUAUGAUGUCCGAAUUGGAAGACACAAUUGUAUGCAAAUGAAAAAUUAUCUGAGUGACUUGUUUUUGAUAAUGCUCACAAUUUCUUUCUUAUUAUAUAGUUUUGCAGUUCUGACUGAGUACAAUCUUAGUCAUCUUCAUUUAUACAAUGAAUGGUGUCAUACGAAGCUGACGUAUUAAACAAAAAUGUCAACAAAAUAGAUUUUGUCUCCCCAUUGGCUGAUUGUUCAGUUGUUCUGCAGUAGGGGUGGCCUUGAAGGUGCCAUUAAAAUGAUAAUUGGGACAAAAACUGACUUACUGGUAGUAUUUGUAUGUAUGAAAUUGUUAUUAAAUUCUACAUAUCCAAUGAUUCAUUCAAGUAUUAUUAUCAUUUGUUAUAUAUGA